AGCGGCGGACGGGUGAGUAACGCGUGGGUAACCUGCCUCAUACAGGGGGAUAACAGUUAGAAAUGACUGCUAAUACCGCAUAAGCACACAGAACCGCAUGGUUCGGGGUGAAAAGCCGAGACGGUAUGAGAUGGACCCGCGUCUGAUUAGCUAGUUGGAGGGGUAACGGCCCACCAAGGCAACGAUCAGUAGCCGACCUGAGAGGGUGAACGGCCACAUUGGGACUGAGACACGGCCCAAACUCCUACGGAAGGCAGCAG
rnacentral:rRNA from 1 species